CAUAUAUGUUAUUUAGUUGGAAGUCAGUGUUUACAUAUAUGUUAUUGGGUCUCUUGGUUAGUUGGAAGUCAGUGUUUACAUAUAUGUUAGAAGAGUGUUUUUUGAGGUUUUCUGUGGACUGAUACUAUGAAAUCUUGUUGCCUGACCAUUGUAAUUGUAUUAGCUUUGCUGUGCUGUUGAUUGAAAAGAGAGAUGAAGAAGGGCAAUUACAAGUACUAUCAGCUGCACUUGAGAUUGCUGAAGCAGAGAGUAUUGAUCUAGAUUCAAAAUUCCGUGCCCUGGUUGCUAUUGGAUCAUUGAUUCUUAAUUAUGCGGAAGUGAAUUCCACAAGUUGCUCGAGGUUCUGGUUGUUGACAAACGAUUA